rnacentral:lncRNA from 1 species
UCAAGGUGCCACAGUUGUUUGGUGAGGGCGGCUCUCUGCUUCCAAGAUGGCGCCUUGAUGCAGCAUCCUCUGGAGCAGGAAACACUGCGUCCUCACAGGAAGAUGUGGCCAAGGAGAAACAACUUCCUAUUCCUAUCCUGUAGCCUGCCAAGCCUGAGAAGCUACCUCCCUGAAAAUCUUCCUAGGACUCCUCAGCUUCCUCAAUGCUACCAAAUACCCACUAUCUCCAUAGACACACACAAAUCCCCUCCACCCACAAUGAUGUCCUGGUAAGCUACUUGGUAUCUUACUGCAACAAGUAUUCAAUGAAGAAGCUUGAUGUCUGUGCUAAAGAUGCCAUCCCCUGAGGUUCUGAAAGCUGUAAAUGCUCAAGCUCCUGCAGCAGUGCUACUCAGGGGAAGACAGCCCCCACUCUCCGUGUCACACUUUGUAUCUUGGGCACUAAAGCAGCCCUGCACUUAAUCCAUUCCUUCUGCUUUUGCAUGUAACCCCUGUCUACUCAGGGCUCAUGCAAAUAACUGGGUGAGGUUUACAGGCCUUGGUAAGCUCCUGUCCCAUCCCUCACAGAUGUGUCAAUUGCACUUCUUGCAAAACUGCUUGUCCAAGUUGCUAGCUUGUGGGCUGGUCUUCACCUGACAUUAGUACUUGGGCAGUUAGAGUUUUUGAUCUUUUAGACUAUAAGUUUUUAGUGAGUCAGGUUUUCUGUUUAAUUCUUCACAGCCAUUUUACUUCACAGUAAAAUGGUAUGGUUUUUGCUGUAGCAUACAGGAAUAUCUAGAAUAGUGGGGGUAUGGAAAAAAUGUUUCACAUUUAGUUUAGAGCUAGUCUUCUUUUACAUUUUCUUAUAUUCCAUUUUGUUAAUUUCUAGUAUUUGUUAAUUUCUGUCAUUUGUUUAUUUAACAUUUAUUGAGCUACUCUGAAGAGAUAACACUGUAUCCUGAACCAAUAAAUACGACUACUACAAUCUCUGCUUUCAAGUUUCUAUAAUUUUGGGGAGAAAGGGAGAUAAACACGAAAACAAAAUUCUGUUGAUGAGUGUAAAUGGAAACACUCAAACGUUUAUUUCCAGAGGAUAACUUAUGAAAGGAAAACAUUAAUCCCAGCCAGAUGAGGGGAUCAAAUGAUAUUUCUCACUUUCACUUUGCCACCCAAUCUCAGACACUAUCCUCUCUGGGCUGACAUUGACUUCCUCCAGCUGACAGAGGCAUCAUUAGUGAGUCCUGAGCUGCCAGUAUGGUCUAAAAACUAAAAUUUAACAGCCUCCUGAGCUGGGGAAAAUCUUAACUGAGAACUGCAAGGAAUAGCUGCCUUGGCACAAGCUGUGUGGAAUCUUAAAAGGGAGCAGGUUUUGAGGCCAAGAUUUAUGUUCAACAGCUAAUGCUUUAGAGACAGAGUUAUAUGUAGAAAAGCUGACUCCGUGUUUGUCCCUUACUGAUGCAAAUAAGAGUCGCAUCUGUAACCCAUGUUUUAUCUGUUUAUUUUUUUUAGACCCUGACAUAAUAUAAAAGGUGAGUAUUAAGGCCCACUAAACCUCUGAAGGUCUAUCUGCUUAUCCCAUUGCAG